AGCUAAUAGAUACCCGGGUAGUCCCAGCCCUAAACGAUGAAUACUAGGUGUCGGGGGGUAUCGACCCCUCCGGUGCCGCCGCUAAACGCAGUAAAGUAUUCCGCCUGGGGAGUACGGCCGCAAGGUUGAAACUCAAAGGAAUUGACGGGGGCCCGCACAAGCGGUGGAGCAUGUUGUUUAAUACGUCAUUAACCGUAGAACCUUACCAGGGUUUGACAUCCGCUGCCAUCCUAUGAAAGUAGGCUUCCCCGCAAGGGGACAGCGAGACAGGUGUUGCAUGGCUGUCGUUAGCUCGUGUCGUGAGAUGUUGGGUUAAGUCCCGCAACGAGCGCAACCCUCAUCCCAUGUUGCCAUCGGGUAAAGCCGGGAACUCUUGGGAAACUGCCGGGGUAACUCGGAGGAAGGUGAGGAUGACGUCAAGUCAGCAUGGCCCUUACACCCUGGGCUACAAACAUGCUACAAUGGACGGUAAACAGAGGGACCCGAGACCGUGAGGUGGAGGCAAUCUCAGAAAUCCGUUCUCAGUUCGGAUUGCAGGCUGCAACUCGCCUGC
rnacentral:rRNA from 1 species